UACGAAGGGGGCUAGCGUUGUUCGGAAUUACUGGGCGUAAAGCGCACGUAGGCGGACUAUUAAGUCAGGGGUGAAAUCCCGGGGCUCAACCCCGGAACUGCCUUUGAUACUGGUAGUCUCGAGUCCGGAAGAGGUGAGUGGAAUUCCGAGUGUAGAGGUGAAAUUCGUAGAUAUUCGGAGGAACACCAGUGGCGAAGGCGGCUCACUGGUCCGGUACUGACGCUGAGGUGCGAAAGCGUGGGGAGCAAACAGGAUUAGAACCCCGGUAGUCC
rnacentral:rRNA from 1 species